rnacentral:rRNA from 1 species
AUGGACCAUGAGAUUCCAUACAAUAGGUCCUAUGCGUGGGACUCGAAGGAUGAAGGCCCGGAUGAAGAAAUAGAUGAGGAUGGUUUGACGGCUAAAGAAGCCAAUGCUUUCAAGAAGGUAAUAGGCCGUAGUCACAAGACAUCAUUGUUUCGCGAUCUAAGCCUAGCCGAUAAGGCGAUUGUUGAUGGUGGCACAAGUAAAAUUCUUGCACCAAGG